rnacentral:rRNA from 1 species
CCUACGGGAGGCAGCAGUGGGGAAUUUUGGACAAUGGGCGCAAGCCUGAUCCAGCAAUGCCGCGUGAGUGAAGAAGGCCUUCGGGUUGUAAAGCUCUUUUGUCAGGGAAGAAACGGUCUACUCUAAUACAGUGGGCUAAUGACGGUACCUGAAGAAUAAGCACCGGCUAACUACGUGCCAGCAGCCGCGGUAAUACGUAGGGUGCAAGCGUUAAUCGGAAUUACUGGGCGUAAAGCGUGCGCAGGCGGUUAUAUAAGUCAGAUGUGAAAUCCCCGGGCUCAACCUGGGAACUGCAUUUGAGACUGUAUGGCUAGAGUGUGUCAGAGGGGGGUAGAAUUCCACGUGUAGCAGUGAAAUGCGUAGAUAUGUGGAGGAAUACCGAUGGCGAAGGCAGCCCCCUGGGAUAACACUGACGCUCAUGCACGAAAGCGUGGGGAGCAAACAGGAUUAGAUACCCUGGUAGUCCACGCCCUAAACGAUGUCUACUAGUUGUCGGGACUUAAUUGUCUUGGUAACGCAGCUAACGCGUGAAGUAGACCGCCUGGGGAGUACGGUCGCAAGNUUAAAACCUUAAAGGAAUUGACGGCUGAGAGNGCGACGACGACGACGAGGGAGGAGG